rnacentral:rRNA from 1 species
AUAGCGUAUAUUAAAGUUGUUGCGGUUAAAAAGCUCGUAGUUGGAUCUCAGUUCAAGCUAUUCGGUCCACUUGCCAGUGGUUACUGUUUGGCUGAACACUUUAUCGAGUUGUCUCAUGGUGCUCUUUACCGAGUGUCAUGAGCGAUCGGUACGUUUACUUUGAAAAAAUUAGAGUGCUUAAAGCAGGCGUAACGCCCGAAUAAUGUUGCAUGGAAUAAUGGAAUAGGACCUCGGUUCUAUUUUGUUGGUCUUCGGAAUCUGAGGUAAUGAUUAAGAGGGACAGACGGGGGCAUUCGUAUUGCGGCGCUAGAGGUGAAAUUCUUGGACCGUCGCAAGACGAA